rnacentral:rRNA from 1 species
UGGGGAAUAUUGGGCAAUGGGCGCAAGCCUGACCCAGCAACGCCGCGUGAAGGAAGAAGGCUUUCGGGUUGUAAACUUCUUUGACGAGGGACGAAAGAAAUGACGGUACCUCGAAAACAAGCCACGGCUAACUACGUGCCAGCAGCCGCGGUAAUACGUAGGUGGCAAGCGUUGUCCGGAUUUACUGGGUGUAAAGGGCGUGUAGGCGGGUUGUCAAGUCAGAUGUGAAAUCUAUGGGCUUAACCCAUAACGUGCAUUUGAAACUGACAGUCUUGAGUGAUGGAGAGGCAGGCGGAAUUCCUAGUGUAGCGGUGAAAUGCGUAGAUAUUAGGAGGAACACCAGUGGCGAAGGCGGCCUGCUGGACAUUAACUGACGCUGAGGCGCGAAAGCGUGGGGAGCAAACA